rnacentral:rRNA from 1 species
GAUCAUGGCUCAGAACGAACGCUGNCGGCGUGCUUAACACAUGCAAGUCGAACGCGAAAGUUUUCUUCGGAAGACGAGUAGAGUGGCGCACGGGUGAGUAACGCGUAAGUAAUCUACCCCGGCAUCUGGAAUAACUCACCGAAAGGUGUGCUAAUACCGGAUACGUUGGUAACAAGAAAGGUGGCCUCUGCAUAUGCUACCGUGCUGGGAUGAGCUUGCGUACCAUUAGCUAGUUGGUAGGGUAAUGGCCUACCAAGGCAACGAUGGUUAGCGGGUCUGAGAGGAUGAUCCGCCACACUGGAACUGGAACACGGACCAGACUCCUACGGGAGGCAGCAGUGAGGAAUAUUGCGCAAUGGGGGCAACCCUGACGCAGCGACGCCGCGUGGAUGAUGAAGGCCUUCGGGUCGUAAAAUCCUGUCAGAUGGAAAGAAGUGCUAUGUGGUUAAUACCCAUGUAGCUUGACGGUACCAUCGAA